rnacentral:lncRNA from 1 species
CUUUGAAAUUGUCUCUUCAUCUUUCUUUAGCCCUCGCUGCACCCCUCUCUAGGCAGAUCUGAGGAUUGAUCAGCCUCUGACAGUGACAGGUACUAAUGUCCCAUUCCUGUGGCAGAUCCUGAUGUGAACAGACCUGGGGCCCUCCUGGCAGCAGAGGGGCAGCAGACAGGCGCUGAUUGCUGAUGUGGACCAUCCUGGAGUUAACAGAUGGCUGAGACAGACUGCAGCCCCAGGCCAGGCUCCUGCAUGCCCUCCCCAGGAUGCCUCCAAGGUCUGGUCACUAGUACCACCGCCUGACUGACCCGUCACGGAGUCGGACAUGUCAGACAGCAGACCGGGCAAGUAUAGCCCUUCCCCCAGUGGCUGCCACGGAAAUGUAGCCCCUGGUCUGUGAAGUGGCAGGGCUCUGCUGAGUUACGUGCAGCUGAGGUCAGUGUGACCCUAAUUAAAAUCUUUUCCUCUGAAUUAUGGCUUCUCACUGACCUUGUUGGUGACUAGCUAAUUGUACCUGUACCGAUUUGUUCUGUCCAAGCAAGAUAAGCAGUACUUAUUCCCUAACAUCUCUUACUGAUGCUAUCAUGUCAGAUGUUCCACAGUACCUCACUAGAUGCCUUCAAAGCAUACCUGGCUCCUUAUUCCUUCCCACGAUUGUAUUCAAUAAAUACUGGAUGUGCUUGGGGGCCUUUGUCUUUAGUUGCCCAGAGCAGCACUGAUCAGGUCCCAAGACCCAGCUUCUUCACUCUAAGUCUAGUUUCCUGUCUUAUUCUUUAAUUCGCCUUGUGCUGUAGUGGCUCACAGGAAGCUGGGACCCAUGGCAGGUGGCAGAGGUUCUGGCAAUGUCCCCUUUCCUGUUUCCUAUACUAGUGGAUCUGGGUUUGAC